GUCACAGUGGGCUGUUCCUUAGUCUCUCCCCCGCCAACCCCUUCACCCCUACUCCCUUUAAGCCAACAGCCAAUAGGACGGCCAGGAGAAGACCCACAACUGUCUCUGCACCAAUCACACUGCAAGACACGGAAGACGAAUGCUGGAAGAAGAUGAUGUCCAG